rnacentral:rRNA from 1 species
AUUGAACGCUGGCGGCAGGCUUAACAUAUGCAAGUCGAGCGGAGCGAGGGUGCUUGCACCUUAGCUUAGCGGCGGACGGGUGAGUAAUGCUUAGGAAUCUGCCUAUUAGUGGGGGACAACAUUCCGAAAGGAAUGCUAAUACCGCAUACGCCCUACGGGGGAAAGCAGGGGAUCUUCGGACCUUGCGCUAAUAGAUGAGCCUGAGUCGGAUUAGCUAGUUGGUGGGGUAAAGGCCUACCAAGGCGACGAUCUGUAGCGGGUCUGAGAGGAUGAUCCGCCACACUGGGACUGAGACACGGCCCAGACUCCUACGGGAGGCAGCAGUGGGGAAUAUUGGACAAUGGGCGGAAGCCUGAUCCAGCCAUGCCGCGUGUGUGAAGAAGGCCUUUUGGUUGUAAAGCACUUUGAGCGAGGAGGAGGCUACUUAGAUUAAUACUCUAGGAUAGUGGACGUUACUCGCAGAAUAAGCACCGGCUAACUCUGUGCCAGCAGCCGCGGUAACAC